CCUACGGGAGACAGCAGUGAGGAAUAUUGGUCAAUGGACGAGAGUCUGAACCAGCCAAGUAGCGUGAAGGAUGACUGCCCUAUGGGUUGUAAACUUCUUUUAUAUGGGAAUAAAAUGUUCCACGUGUGGGCUUUUGUAUGUACCAUAUGAAUAAGGAUCGGCUAACUCCGUGCCAGCAGCCGCGGUAAUACGGAGGAUCCGAGCGUUAUCCGGAUUUAUUGGGUUUAAAGGGAGCGUAGGUGGAUUGUUAAGUCAGUUGUGAAAGUUUGCGGCUCAACCGUAAAAUUGCAGUUGAAACUGGCAGUCUUGAGUACAGUAGAGGUGGGCGGAAUUCGUGGUGUAGCGGUGAAAUGCUUAGAUAUCACGAAGAACCCCGAUUGCGAAGGCAGCUUACUGGACUGUAACUGACAUUGAGGCUCGAAAGUGUGGGUAUCAAACAGGAUUAGAUACCCUUGUAGUC
rnacentral:rRNA from 1 species